CCCUAUGGGGUGCGCCCAGUCGGGAAUGACCACGCCGGCGUCCGGCAGAACAGGCGAGGCGGCCUUGGCCUGGGCCAGGGUGAUCUUGGCCCGGACGUCGUCGGGGAGGGAGGAGAGGACAUACAUCUUGGCCCGGCCGCCCCGGCCCCGGCCCUCCCGGUACUCGAAAGCCCAGCCCGCUUGAUCCACGGCCUGCCGAGACAUGCCGAGGAUCUUGGCUAGUUCUGGAGUCGUGUACGUGUCCUUCAUGGCCCCUAUCCGCUUCCCGUUGAUGGAUUCGACGCCCCCUGCUAGGGCGGUAUCGCUUGUCCUGUUCACCCCAACCCCAGAGGAGGCGUCGAAAUGAUCAAUCCAAACUUGUCUGACCUGUUGAUUUACAACAUGACAACAGGAGAAUGUCACAGCGCCGAAAGGCUUUCUGGACCGUGCAAUAUCAACUCUGGAGGAAUGAGGAAUUGGCGGGGGAGC
rnacentral:rRNA from 1 species